rnacentral:rRNA from 1 species
UACGGAGGGGGCUAGCGUUGUUCGGAAUUACUGGGCGUAAAGCGCGCGUAGGCGGCUUUGUAAGUUAGAGGUGAAAGCCCGGAGCUUAACUCCGGAACUGCCUUUAAGACUGCAUCGCUAGAAUUGUGGAGAGGUGAGUGGAAUUCCGAGUGUAGAGGUGAAAUUCGUAGAUAUUCGGAAGAACACCAGUGGCGAAGGCGACUUACUGGACACAUAUUGACGCUGAGGUGCGAAAGCGUGGGGAGCAAACAGG